rnacentral:rRNA from 1 species
UAAUAGCUCACUGGUCGAGUCGGCCUGCGCGGAAGAUGUAACGGGGCUAAACCAUGCACCGAAGCUGCGGCAGCGACGCUUAUGCGUUGUUGGGUAGGGGAGCGUUCUGUAAGCCUGUGAAGGUGUGCUGUGAGGCAUGCUGGAGGUAUCAGAAGUGCGAAUGCUGACAUAAGUAACGAUAAAGCGGGUGAAAAGCCCGCUCGCCGGAAGACCAAGGGUUCCUGUCCAACGUUAAUCGGGGCAGGGUGAGUCGACCCCUAAGGCGAGGCCGAAAGGCGUAGUCGAUGGGAAACAGGUUAAUAUUCCUGUACUUGGUGUUACUGCGAAGGGGGGACGGAGAAGGCUAUGUUGGCCGGGCGACGGUUGUCCCGGUUUAAGCGUGUAGGCUGAUUUUCCAGGCAAAUCCGGAAAAUCAAGGCUGAGGCGUGAUGACGAGGCACUACGGUGCUGAAGCAACAAAUGCCCUGCUUCCAGGAAAAGCCUCUAAGCAUCAGGUAACAUCAAAUCGUACCCCAAACCGACACAGGUGGUC